rnacentral:rRNA from 1 species
UGCAGUCGAGCGGAACGAUCCUAGCUUGCUAGGAGGCGUCGAGCGGCGGACGGGUGAGUAAUGCAUAGGAAUCUGCCCGGUAGUGGGGGAUAACUUGAGGAAACUCAAGCUAAUACCGCAUACGCCCUACGGGGGAAAGCAGGGGCUCUUCGGACCUUGCGCUAUCGGAUGAGCUUAUGUCGGAUUAGCUGGUUGGUGAGGUAACGGCUCACCAAGGCGACGAUCCGUAGCUGGUCUGAGAGGAUGAUCAGCCACAUCGGGACUGAGACACGGCCCGAACUCCUACGGGAGGCAGCAGUGGGGAAUAUUGGACAAUGGGGGCAACCCUGAUCCAGCCAUGCCGCGUGUGUGAAGAAGGCCCUCGGGUUGUAAAGCACUUUCAGCGAGGAAGAAUGCUUGUCGGUUAAUACCCGGCAAGGGAGACAUCACUCGCAGAAGAAGCACCGGCUAACUCCGUGCCAGCAGCCGCGGUAAUACGGAGGGUGCGAGCGUUAAUCGGAAUUACUGGGCGUAAAGCGUGCGUAGGCGGCUUGAUAAGCCGGUUGUGAAAGCCCCGGGCUCAACCUGGGAACGGCAUCCGGAACUGUUAGGCUAGAGUGCAGGAGAGGAAGGUAGAAUUCCCGGUGUAGCGGUGAAAUGCGUAGAGAUCGGGAGGAAUACCAGUGGCGAAGGCGGCCUUCUGGACUGACACUGACGCUGAGGUACGAAAGCGUGGGUAGCAAACAGGAUUAGAUACCCUGGUAGUCCACGCCGUAAACGAUGUCGACUAGCCGUUGGGGGUCCUCGAGACCUUUGUGGCGCAGUUAACGCACUAAGUCGACCGCCUGGGGAGUACGGCCGCAAGGUUAAAACUCAAAUGAAUUGACGGGGGCCCGCACAAGCGGUGGAGCAUGUGGUUUAAUUCGAUGCAACGCGAAGAACCUUACCUACCCUUG